UAGGAAAGACAGAGAUCUCUCUCUUUGUGCCUACACACCAAGUAAGGCAAUGGGAAAACAAAGCAAGAAGGCAGCUGUCGGGACGCCUGGGUGGCUCAGUCGGUCACGUGUCUGACUGUUGGUUUUGGCUCAGGUCAUGAUCUCACUCACGGUUCAGUUUGUGAGGGGCUCUGCGCUGACAACUUGGAGCCUGUUUAGGAUUCUCUCUCUCCCUACCAACCUCUCUUUCUCUCUCUCACAAGAAAAAAAUAUUUUUUAAAAAGAAGGGAACUGUCUACAAGCCAGGAAGUAGGCUCUCAUCAGGUACCAAAUCGGCCAGCACCUUGAUCUUGGACUUCCCAGCCUCCAUUACCGUGAGAAGCAAAUGUCUGUUGUUUAAGCACCUGGUCUGUGAUAUUUGCCACAGCAGUCUGAAUUGACCAAAACACCUGGUCUACUACUUUCUGGUGAGAUCUUGGGGUAACUGCUGAUCCAGCUUCAGCGACAAGCUCUUGCCUUACUGGAAAUCCAUUAUCAAACUGCUCUCAGGAUGAGCUGCUGUUCUGCUUGACCUUUGCUUCUGGUUCUCCCUUUACAACACUCCAGACUCACCGGUGGCUCCCCAGGAAACCCUCUGCAUCAUGAAAAUAAGUCACGUGCAGAGAAGAGCAAAGAGGCAUCUUCAUAUUAAUUGCAAUGCACCUAGAAGUACAUCAUGGGGUCUCUGAGAUAUGCAGGAGUGGUGGAGGAAACCGAGAGCAAUUCUCAAAAGGAAUCGAACGUUGACGUGCUGAAAAAUUAAGUAAUCUCUCAAACAUCACACAUAGCUGUGAAGUUUCUGAGCCAGGAUUCCAACCCAAAAGAGCUGCCUGAUUUGAAAGAUUGUCCUUUUCACCACUUUUGAAGAUGGAUGCAAUGAAGCUAGACCAAGAAAAGAGUUGUUGAAGACAACAUGGGUUUGUGAGCCCAGCAAAUGAGAAAAUCCGUAUCAGCUAAAUCCAUUUACUAGUUUACUGUUGACUUAGUAGUGGGGGAUAGAAAAAAAAAAAGCCUUGCUAAAGGUGGUAAUAGAGGAAUUCUUUCUAGGCUGCCCUCACAAGAAUUAUCAAUCCUGCCACUAUUUGUCACAAGAGAUUGGAUUCUCCUCUUUAAAGCCAAAAAUGGUUACUGCCCAGUGCUCCAUUUUCUUCAAGAUGCUUGCAAAUUCAUUCACAAAGGAGACCCGUGUUCAAAGGAAGAGUAAGGAAAAGGUUGUUUAAAGCAUUUGUGAGCAAAGGCACCACAUGAAAGAAAAUGCCUCUGCUCAGAGAGUGAGGAGGCCAUAUUUGGGAUCAGGAAUGAUUUUAAAAGGAGUAGGAAAACACCGCCAUAAUGUGAUUUAAGGAUCAAGAAAUGCAUGAGUUAAUUUAGCCUAGAGAUAGGAGACCAAAAAGACAAAUACCCUCCCCAUAUUACUCUUAGUCUGAUGCACACCAUAUUGUGGAAGAAAGGCAAGAGCGAUGUACCAGAUGGCAUAUAUUUAAAUCUCGGUUCCACCACUAACUGUGCCCUGCUCUCUGAAACACAAUUAGCUUAAUGGUCAAAUGAGGGCGAUACACUUACCUUCUAAGGUUUCGUGAGGAUUAUUAAAUGAGAUAACAGAUAAGCAAAGCACUUAGGUCAAUGCCUGGCCCAGUAAGCGUCAGGUAAGUGGUGUGGCUGAUGAUAACAAUAGCAAUUAGAAAGCAAUGACAACAGCAAUUGCUCAGAAGCACCACAACUAGAUGGUGAUCAUGUCAACACUAGGGACAAAACACGUGGUUUAGACAUGCAAGUGGUAAUACUACGGGGCACAGGGACACACAAUUAAGUCCAAGAACACUUUGGGUAAACAAGGCUGACUGGUUCCUGUGGAAGGGUUGAUAUCUUGACGACCUCACAUUAUUCUAGAAUAAUCCUAAAAAAAAAAGAUGCUGGGCAUUUAUGUUUUAUCAGUCCAAAGUAGUGGCUCCUACC